rnacentral:rRNA from 1 species
UACGAAGGGGGCUAGCGUUGUUCGGAAUUACUGGGCGUAAAGCGCACGUAGGCGGAUCUUUAAGUCAGGGGUGAAAUCCUGGAGCUCAACUCCAGAACUGCCUUUGAUACUGGCGACCUUGAGUCCGGGAGAGGUGAGUGGAACUGCGAGUGUAGAGGUGAAAUUCGUAUAUAUUCGCAAGAACACCAGUGGCGAAGGCGGCUCACUGGCCCGGUACUGACGCUGAGGUGCGAAAGCGUGGGGAGCAAACAGG